UACAGAGACUGCAAGCGUUAUUCGGAUUCACUGGGCGUAAAGGGUGCGUAGGUGGUGAGGUAAGUCGGAUGUGAAAAUCUCCAGGCUCAACCUGGAAACUGCAUUGGAAACUACCUUGCUUGAGGAUUUGAGGGGGGAUUGGAAUACUUGGUGUAGCAGUGAAAUGCGUAGAUAUCAAGUGGAACACCAAUGGCGAAAGGCAGCUCGCUGGGGGACGGUACUGACGCUGAGACGCGAAAAGCGUGGGGGAGCAAAACAGG
rnacentral:rRNA from 1 species